GAAGCUAACACUCACUGAAAUGCCUAAUUUUGUUGAAUGGUUGGAAGUAGUGUUGCUUAAUUCCUCCUUUCCAUCUCUUGAGGAGUUGGCAGUUUGGUCAUGCCCUGAGCUGAAAAUCACACCAAGUCAGUUCCCUUUACUAAAAGGGUUGUACUUUGUACAAACAAACAAGAUGGCACUGAGGUCACUGUCAAGCAACCUUAUCUCUCUCAACAUUCUUAAAAUUAUUAGGUGUCGAGACCUCAAGUCUGUGCCGAAGAGGUUGCUACAGAACAAUGCACAUGUUCUUGAGAGCAUGCGGUUUUCAGAUUGCCCUGAGCUUGAAACAAUUUUUCCAAGUGAAGGACAAGGGAAGGGAUCUUCCUUGCCCACCCUAGUCUUUCCCUCUCUUCAAUCCUUGGACAUAAUUGAAUGUCCUCUUGUAAAUCCUUUGCCAGACUUACAAGGAAUGACUUUUCUUCGAUGGUUGAAUUUGACUGGCUUUGAGGAGUUGAAGUCACUACCAGAAGGGUUGCAGCGUCUCACUAUGCUUGAGUGGUUAGAAAUUGGUUGGUUUUCAGAGGGGCUAGAUUAUAUACAAGGGGAAGAGAAUCUCCAACACCUUGUCUCCCUUCAGUACUUAGCACUUCUGGGCUGGCCUCAGCACAAGAAUCUCCGAGACCAACUUAAGCACCUCAUUAAUCUACGAGAUGUGUGGACAACAGAUAUAGUUUUGAAAUGAUUAAUCAAAAAGGUCCUAUCUGGCUCACUGAUGGAAGUCCCAAAAAAAUCCCUAUUUGUAGAAGCAAGCAAAUAACUUACUUGGCUAAGAAGAUGUUGUUCAGGUGAGGUUAGAUCUAGCUUAUUUUAUUGUUCAUAUUUCUCUUACCUCUUAUUUUAUUUUAUUUUUUGUAUUGUUAAACCAUAAAUAAAUCAUUGGUCUCUUACUUCCUCUUUUAUUCAGUAUCAUCUUAUCUGGCUCUUUAAUAGAUGGAACAAAGAGAGAUGUUUGGACCAUUCAUACGGCUUGAUUUCCCAUUCAUGGAUUGGUGGAUGGUUUCUUUACAUUGACCUUUUGCUUUCAGUUGAUAGCUCUACUAGCACUAUUCUUACAGUUUAUAUGAUUUCAAGGGAUUCUUCACACCAUCAACUCAAUUUGCUGAGUUCGUUACUCAAUAUGAGGGGGCAGUAAAGAAGAGGCGAGGGAAGGAAUCAGAGGUGGACAUAGCUUCAAUCACCACUACUCCAAUAAUACAGAAAAUGCAUCCAAUCGAAAAGCAAGCUGCUGAAAUUGUUACAGAUAAGGUUGGGACAUUUGGGGAAAAGAUGAAGUGAUCCAGGUCCUAGUCCAGAGUAGACUGCAAGUGGUUUGGAAGAAAACAAGAUAUCAAAUUGUAGCUGCAAAGAAGGCAUGCCAUUGCUCAGUUUGCAGUGGUGUUGGUUACAAGAAAUGAAACUGUUCACCAGUCCAAGGUUUGCAGCUAACAACCAACAAAUUGGUGAAGCUUCUUUAGGCAUUCAGUUACCAGUCAAAUUAAUGAUCAUGUUGAAGAUUUGAAGGAGUAUCAAAACCCACAAGUCACUGCUUCGCGAUAGUGAAAAGUGAGAUUAGUUUACAAUCCCUGCUGUACACAGGCAAGGCAAAGGCUGGGGCAGGGGGUGUAUUCAGGAAUGAGUCAGCUGCAGUAGUUGCUUCAUUCGGGGAGUAUCUUGGAGUCAAGACAAAUUUUGAAGCAGAAUUCAUGGCUCUCAUAGGUGGUUUGGAAAAGCAAAGUCGCAAGGAUUUAUGAAAUUAUGGAUUGAGUGUGACUCAGUUGCAGUGGUUACUCUCAUCCUCAAAGGGACUACCCUGCGGUGUGUUUGUCAAAGGUGGUUGAGUAUGAUCCUAUCGCUGAACACCUCGCAAAAUCAGCGGCUAAAUUUGAGAGUUCAGAUCCUAGCUUGGCCAACUCUAGUCAACAUGGAUUUAGAGGUUGAUGCUCUGAAUCGUCCAAGAUACCGUCUUAAAUAAUUUGCUCAAUUUAUUUUUCUUUUUGUGGAGGGUCUCUCUUGGUUAGUCUACCCUGCUAAUGGUAAUGCCGAAGGUGGGUUAGUCUAUCUAGGAGUUUCUUUCUCAGUAGCAGUGUCUGGUGUUUAGCUAGGUUUUUGUAUCUCUUUUUUGCUUUUCGCUUUUUCAUUAUUAAUCCUAUGAUCUUUUAUCA